UUUAUUACUGCAGUCGGACACACUCA
rnacentral:piRNA from 1 species